rnacentral:rRNA from 1 species
UACGUAGGGGGCUAGCGUUGUCCGGAUUUACUGGGCGUAAAGGGGUUGUAGGAGGUAUGAUAAGUCUGGCGUGAAAUCUCACCGCCUAACGGUGAAACUGCGUUGGAUACUAUCGUGCUAGAGGAUUAGAGAGGAGAGCGGAAUUCUUGGUGGAGCGGUGAAAUGCGUAGAUAUCUGGAGGAACACCGGUGGCGAAGGCGGCAUCCUGGACCGACACUGACACUGAGGAGCGAAAGCCAGGGGAGCAAACGGG